AGCAGCCGCGGUAAUUCCAGCUCCAAUAGCGUAUAUUAAAGUUGUUGCAGUUAAAAAGCUCGUAGUUGAAUUUCGGGAUCAGCAGGUUGGUCGUGCCAAUGGUAUGCACUGGCCUUGCUGAUUCCUCCUUCUUGAUGAGCCGUAAUGCCAUUAAUUUGGUGUUGCGGGGAAUCAGGACUGUUACUUUGAAAAAAUUAGAGUGUUUAAAGCAGGCAAGCGCUUGAAUACAUUAGCAUGGAAUAAUGAAAUAGGACGUUCGAUCCUAUUUUGUUGGUUUU
rnacentral:rRNA from 1 species